GAUCCUGGCUCAGGAUGAACGCUAGCUACAGGCUUAACACAUGCAAGUCGAGGGGAAACGAUAGAGAAGCUUGCUUUUUCUAGGCGUCGACCGGCGCACGGGUGAGUAACGCGUAUCCAACCUGCCCACCACUUGGGGAUAACCUUGCGAAAGUAAGACUAAUACCCCAAUGACGUCUCUAGAAGACAUCUGAAAGAGAUUAAAGAUUUAUCGGUGAUGGAUGGGGAUGCGUCUGAUUAGCUUGUUGGCGGGGUAACGGCCCACCAAGGCGACGAUCAGUAGGGGUUCUGAGAGGAAGGCCCCCCACAUUGGAACUGAGACACGGUCCAAACUCCUACGGGAGGCAGCAGUGAGGAAUAUUGGUCAAUGGACGAGAGUCUGAACCAGCCAAGUAGCGUGCAGGAUGACGGCCCUAUGGGUUGUAAACUGCUUUUAUAAGGGAAUAAAGUGAGUCUCGUGAGACUUUUUGCAUGUACCUUAUGAAUAAGGACCGGCUAAUUCCGUG
rnacentral:rRNA from 1 species